rnacentral:lncRNA from 1 species
AACAGUGGGGCAUUUAUGUAAGUCACAGGAGUAGCGCUUAUUCAAGAGCUGCCAGGAUGUUGGACUGUCUGCCAACAAUGAAUGGAGCUACUGUAAACACCCACAUGCAGACUUUUGAGCGAAUAUAGCUUCCAACUCCUUUGGGAACAAGGAGGAAGAAUGAGAAGAGGAGGAACAGGAGAAGGAACAAGAGCAGGAGGAAGAGAUGCAGGCAGCAACAUCACCUGCUAGGGCAUGUCGACAAGAACCCAACUUCCAUCCAAAGAAAUUGCACUUUUUAUAAGUUCCAUCCCCUCCCAGUGGCGCCACCUACUGGCAAGCAAAGCAUACAGACCUUUUGGAGAUGUUCCAGAAACAAACUGAAACUAUUCCCACAUGAACCCCUCUAUCCCCUGACUUUCUUCCCUCGGUUUCUGUUUCCUCCUCUGCCCGAGGCUGUCAACAAUGGUCUGCAAUUCUGCCUAACCCACUUUUCCUGUGAUCUUGCCAGGUAAGAAACUCAAGAACCCUCUUCAAUAAUAACAUCACUGGAGCCAGCAAGGCCCUUCUGCCCAGGAG